rnacentral:rRNA from 1 species
UUGGAGGGCAAGUCUGGUGCCAGCAGCCGCGGUAAUUCCAGCUCCAAUAGCGUAUAUUAAAGUUGUUGCAGUUAAAAAGCUCGUAGUUGAACUUCGGGGUUUACCCAUUGGUCAGGCUUAAUUGUCUGCACUGGUGAGGUGAAUCUCUACCUUCUGAGGAACUUUCAUGCCAUUCAUUUGGUGUGAUGGGAAAUCAGGACUGUUACUUUGAAAAAAUUAGAGUGUUUAAAGCAGGCUAACGUCUGAAUACAUUAGCAUGGAAUAAUGAAAUAGGACGGACUGAUUCUAUUUCGUUGGUUUCUAGGAUCACCGUAAUGAUUAAUAGGGAUAGUUGGGGGCAUUAGUAUUCAAUUGUCAGAGGUGAAAUUCUUGGAUUUAUUGAAGACUAACUACUGCGAAAGCAUUUGCCAAGGAUGUUUUCAUUAAUCAAGAACGAAAGUUAGGGGAUCGAAGACGAUCAGAUACCGUCGUAGUCUUAACCAUAAACUAUGCCGACUAGGGAUCGGACGAAGUUAAUUUUUUAAUGACUCAUUCGGCGCCUUACGGGAAACCAAAGUGUUUGGGUUC